UAAUCUCCCUUACUACCAGAAGCCCACCAGGCUGAGGAGCAUUCCUGUCCGAGGUUUGGAACUGCCACCCAUCUCUGGCAUGGGGCUGGUGCUUACAAUAAGCAGCUUCAUGAGUUGAAGAGUGAAUGAAUGGAAGCAUAGUCUUGUCUAGCCCACCUCCUCUCACUUCCUGGACAGCUGCUAGGAACUUGUGCCUGCGUGGUCACCCAUGCCCAAUGCAGACUCCAGUUUUGGAUCUUGGGCAGAGUUCUAGCGUCUUUCUCAGAAAUAGACCUUGAAAGUAGGAUGUUGGGGACAGCAGUUUUCAUGUGCUUGAGCAUGAAUCUCUAACUUGUUCCACACUCUCAGGAGAGGGACACUUUUGUUCGUGAGGCAAUCUGUCCUGUGAGAGGAGCUGCCAAAGGCCCUGCCAUAAGGUCCACCCCCGCCCCCCCCUUCUAACUGGAGUUCAAUUUGAAAAAGAAAAAAAGAUGUUUGUUAACUGGAUUCACAUCACUAACACUGGGGUGCUAAUAACCUGGCGUUAGACUCCCUGGGGAACAUUUGCAUUUUAAUAGAGUGUGCUUACAGCCAUUGAAACUUCACUGUUGGGGGAAGUUUUUUUUUAAAUUAGUAAUCUGGAGAUUCAGAUUUAGUCCCUACAAGUAGUCCUUUGCCCUUGGGGGAGCAAUCUUUCAAUCUGUUUAGUUUCUUCAACCUGAAAAUUUAAAAAAGUUGGACUAGAUAAAGCAAGCAAUAGAACAGAGUAUAGAUUAUCCUGUUUUUUUUUUUUUAAAUAAUUUUAUGGGAAAGGGACUUUUAAUAUCACCAUGGGAACACGGAGGUGCACGGAAGUUAAGCACCUUACCUGAGGUCAAUCACUAAGCAGAGGAAGCAGGAUUCAAACGCAGGCUGCGCAGGCCAGUGGAGAGAUGUUUACAAUCCCCUGACAGGCGGUCUUCAACAGCUGGACCCUCUCUCACACCUUCUUUGGAACAUCAGACCAAAGUGCCAACAGUCACAGAUCCUGCUAAGGCACCAGGCCCUGCUCCAAGUGCUGAGUCCU